GAACAGAAGCUCCAUCAGAUCACUUCAAGUGAAGAAAUGUUCUCUGUAGCUCUGAUUCUACUGCUGGCUGCUGAAUCAUGUGUGCACUGUAUUGAUCUCAUCACACCAGGCUCAAUGGUUGUGCAGCCUGGACAGUCUCUGACCCUCACCUGUCAGGUCUCUGGUUACUCUGUGACUGAUAACAGCUAUGCAACAGGUUGGAUCAGACAGCGUGAAGGGAAACCGAUGGACUGGAUCUGUCAUAGGUUGGGUGGUGGAUCCUUUUACCAAAAUAAUGCUCUGAAGAACAAGUUCAGCUACAGGACAGACACGUCUGCUAGAACAGUGACUCUAACAGGGCAGAAUAUGCAGCCUGAAGACACUGCUGUGUAUUACUGUGCUAGAGUCCCACAGUGAGAGACAAUAACAGGAGA